rnacentral:rRNA from 1 species
UACGGAGGGCGCUAGCGUUGUUCGGAAUUACUGGGCGUAAAGCGCGCGUAGGCGGCUUUGUAAGUUAGAGGUGAAAGCCUGGAGCUCAACUUCAGAAUUGCCUUUAAGACUGCAUCGCUUGAAUCCGGGAGAGGUGAGUGGAAUUCCGAGUGUAGAGGUGAAAUUCGUAGAUAUUCGGAAGAACACCAGUGGCGAAGGCGGCUCACUGGACCGGCAUUGACGCUGAGGUGCGAAAGCGUGGGGAGCAAACAGG